AGGUCACCGUGGCGAUGGCUCAUGACAGAAUUCUGAGGGUGUCAUGGAGGGAAGGGGGUGGGGGAGGGGUCGAUGGAUGAUGGGCAAUUAAGGCACUUGUUGUGGUCAGCUCUGAGUGGUGGAGAGAAGUGAUGAGUCUCUGAGUUGUACUGCAGAAUGCAAUACUGCGCUAUUCUCAAGGUAGGAGAGUUCUUUAUGGCAUGUAGGCACAUGAUGGGAUGCCAGUAACUUUUCACACUGGUGAGGAAUGUCUGCCAUGCUUUCUCCUCCCACCAAGUACACAGGUAGGCACGCCAGAACACAUCUUCUGAUUGUGAAUAGUGAACUCC